rnacentral:rRNA from 1 species
AGCGAACGCUGGCGGCAGGCUUAACACAUGCAAGUCGAACGGGCGUAGCAAUACGUCAGUGGCAGACGGGUGAGUAACGCGUGGGAACGUACCUUUUGGUUCGGAACAACACAGGGAAACUUGUGCUAAUACCGGAUAAGCCCUUACGGGAAGAUUUAUCGCCAAAGAUCGGCCCGCGUCUGAUUAGCUAGUUGGUGAGGUAACGGCUCACCAAGCGACGAUCAGUAGCUGGUCUGAGAGGAUGAUCAGCCACAUUGGGACUGAGACACGGCCCAAACUCCUACGGGAGGCAGCAGUGGGGAAUAUUGGACAAUGGGCGAAAGCCUGAUCCAGCCAUGCCGCGUGAGUGAUGAAGGCCCUAGGGUUGUAAAGCUCUUUUGUGCGGGAAGAUAAUGACGGUACCGCAAGAAUAAGCCCCCGGCUAACUUCGUGCCAGCAGCCGCUGU